CCCUUAGAUGUUCUGGGCCGCACGCGUGCUACACUGAGUGGAUCAGCGGGUCAGGUUGCGCGAAAGCGUUUCCUAAUCUUUAAAUCCGCUCGUGAUGGGGAUUGACGGUUGCAAUUUUCUGUCAUGAACGAGGAAUACCUUGUAAGCGCGGGUCAUCAUCCCGCGCUGAAUACGUCCCUGCCCUUUGUACACACCGCCCGUCGCACCAACCGAUUGGAUGUUUUGUUGAAAUAUGUGGAUGCUUGUUGGGUGAAUUCAUUUUUGCUUGAUAGACAGAAACGUAUUAAAACUGAAUAUCUAGAGGAUGGUGAAGUCGUAACA
rnacentral:rRNA from 1 species